UUCCCGUAGUAAUGGCGAAUGAACUGGGAAAGGCUCAAAUUUAAAAUCACUCACGUGAAUUGUAGUUUAUAAGAUUAAAGUCUCACAGCAACCACUGUUUAAGUGCUCUGGAAUGAUCCGUCAUAGAGGGUGAAAUCCCCGUACUGAACAGAGAGGAAGCUGCAAAGAACUUUUUUCUCAAGAGUCGUGUUGCUUGUUAAUGCAGCAUUAAGUGGGAGGUAAAUUCCUUCUAAAGCUAAAUAUUGGAGAGAGCCCGAUAGCAAACAAGUACCGUGAGGGAAAGAUGAAAGAGAACCCUGAAAAGGGGACUCAAAAGAAUGUGAAAUCGUCAAAAGGGAAGCGCUAAGAACUGUCUGGAAUUCAGAUAUUUAAUAGCUUGCUAUUGAAUAUUUGGGUGGCUAUAGUCCUGUUUCGAACUUCAGGAAUCUUGGGAUAGAAAUUGUAGGCUUCGGUUUACCUUUUCUUGAACUUGAUUUCUAAGAUUUGGGGCAGGAUAUAAAUUCAGUUGGGCAAUCCAUGUGAAACUUUAUUCAAUAGACUUGUCUAGAGAGUAUUAGAAAGCAUGUACUGUUCAACAUCAAAAUUUAUAGUCAAGAGGUUCUAAGCGUCCCGUCUUGAAACACGGACCAAGGAGUCUAACAUAAAUGCAAGUAUAAGGGUGAUAAACCCUAAUGCGAAAUGAAAGUAAUUUCAGGUAGGAACCCCUAAAAAGGUGCACUAUCAACCGAACCUCAUGGAUUUGUUCAUAGGAUUUGAGUAAGAGCAUUUAUGUUGGUACCCGAAAGAUGGUGAACUAUGCCUGAAUAGGGUGAAGCCAGAGGAAACUCUGGUGGAAGCUCGUAGCGAUUCUGACGUGCAAAUCGAUCGUCGAAUUUGGGUAUAGGGGC
rnacentral:rRNA from 1 species